CUGAAGAAUAAACUGAAAAAUAAACAACCAAAACUGUUUCAAAUAUGAUAGGAGAAUGUUUUUAUUAACCAAUCAAUUUUGGAGAAAGUUUAGAGCAAUUGCAUCAGUUGCUCCAAGUUGUUCAAAAUUUACAAAAUUCUGAUAUGCCGCUUCAUAUACGUACUUCGCUCGUUUUUGUCGUGGAUUUCGCUAGUAAAUUAAAGUUUUGAAACAAAGAUGAAUUUUUUAGUUUCAAAUGUAAUUAAGGCUAGGUAUUUUCAAAAUAUAUGCAUAUAUAAAAAUUAGUUAACUAAAGAGUUGACAACUUUAAAUAACAAGUGUCCAAUGCAGCCAUAUAGUCAGUCUUGAAAAUUCUGAAAUUGGUUGUUUAUCCGGAAGCCAGACGAUAGUAAAGAUUAUGGUGCUUUAAGUACUAAAACAUCAUCUACAUAUCUAUUAUGAGUUUUACAUUCAUCUCUCGUAUUUGGUGGUUGUCUGGUUAGGGGGGGGGGGUCAUACGCCCCUCCCAUAAUAGAAACACCACUUGUUUACGUAAGAUCUUGUAUAACAUAAUUUUAUAUUGUAUUCUAGUUUUACUCAUUUUAGUAAAGAUAAAUAUUUAUAAAA